rnacentral:rRNA from 1 species
AUUAGAGGCGAACGGGUGAGUAACACGUAUCCAAUCUGCCUUAUAGUGGGGGAUAACUAGUCGAAAGAUUAGCUAAUACCGCAUAACAAGUUAACUAUCGCAUGAGAAUAACUUUAAAGAAGCAACUGCUUCGCUAUAAGAUGAGGGUGCGGCAUAUCAGCUAGUUGGUGAGGNUAAUGGCCCACCAAGGCGAUGACGUGUAGUUAUGCUGAGAGGUAGAAUAACCACAAUGGGACUGAGACACGGCCCAUACUCCUACGGGAGGCAGCAGUAGGGAAUUUUUCACAAUGGACGAAAGUCUGAUGGAGCAAUGCCGCGUGAACGAUGAAGGUCUUUUUAGAUUGUAAAGUUCUUUUAUUUGGGAAGAACAGUUAAUAGAGUGGAAAGCUAUUAAUUUGACUGUACCAUUUGAAUAAGUAACGACUAACUAUGUGCCAGCAGUCGCGGUAAUACAUAGGUUGCAAGCGUUAUCCGGAUUUAUUGGGCGUAAAACAAGCGCAGGCGGAUUAGAAAGUCUGGUGUUAAAAGCAAUUGCUUAACGAUUGUAUGCAUUGGAAACUUCUAGUCUAGAGUUUGGUAGAGAGUCCUGGAACUCCAUGUGGAGCGGUGAAAUGCGUAGAUAUAUGGAAGAACA